rnacentral:rRNA from 1 species
AACCUGCCCCAAGCUCUGGAAUAACCUCGGGAAACCGGGGCUAAUGCCGGAUAUGACAUUGCCGGGCAUCUGGUGGUGUGGAAAGAUUUAUCGGCUUGGGAUGGGCCCGCGGCCUAUCAGCUUGUUGAUGGGGUGAUGGCCUACCAAGGCGACGACGGGUAGCCGGCCUGAGAGGGCGACCGGCCACACUGGGACUGAGACACGGCCCAGACUCCUACGGGAGGCAGCAGUGGGGAAUAUUGCGCAAUGGGCGAAAGCCUGACGCAGCGACGCCGCAUGAGGGAUGACGGCCUUCGGGUUGUAAACCUCUUUCAGCAGGGACGAAGCGCAAGUGACGGUACCUGCAGAAGAAGCACCGGCCAACUACGUGCCAGCAGGCGCGGUAAUACGUAGGGUCCAAGCGUUGUCCGGAAUUAUUGGGCGUAAAGAGCUCGUAGGCGCCUUGUCACGUCGCCUGUGUAAACUCGGGGCUCAACCCCGAGCCUGCAGUCGAUACGGGCAGGCUAGAGUCCGGCAGGGGAGACUGGAAUUCCUGGUGUAGCGGUGAAAUGCGCAGAUAUCAGGAGGAACACCGGUGGCGAAGGCGGGUCUCUGGGCCGGAACUGACGCUAAGGAGCGAAAGCGUGGGGAGCGAACAGGAUUAGAUACCCUGGUAGUCCACGCCGUAAACGUUGGGCGCUAGGCGUGGGGGACCUUCCACGGCCUCCGUGCCGCAGCUAUCGCAUUAAGCGCCCCGCCUGGGGAGUACGGCCGCAAGGCUAAAACUCAAAGGAAUAGACGGGGGCCCGCACAAGCGGCGGAGCAUGUGGCUUAAUUCGAUGCAACGCGAAGAACCUUACCAGGGCUUGACAUGCAGGGAAAUCUCGUAGAGAUACGGGGUCCGUAAGGGUCCUGCACAGGUGGUGCAUGGCUGUCGUCAGCUCGUGU